CCGACGGUGAGGGGCGAAAGCUGGGGGAGCAAACCGGAUUAGAUACCCGGGUAGUCCCAGCCGUAAACGAUGUGCGUUAGGUGUAUCGGUGACCACGAGUCACCGAGGUGCCGAAGAGAAAUCGUGAAACGUACCGCCUGGGAAGUACGGUCGCAAGGCUGAAACUUAAAGGAAUUGGCGGGGGAGCACCACAACAGGUGGAGCCUGCGGUUUAAUCGGACUCAACGCCGGGAAACUCACCAGAUAAGACAGCUGAAUGAUAGUCGGGCUGAAGACUCUACUUGACUAGCUGAGAGGAGGUGCAUGGCCGUCGUCAGUUCGUACUGUGAAGCAUCCUGUUAAGUC
rnacentral:rRNA from 1 species